ensembl:lncRNA
UUCUAAUUUUUUAUUUAAAUUUGGAAACUGUAAAAAGUAAUUAAUAUAUAAAUUAUUCUCGUCUAUAUUAGGAGGUGGUUUAAUAUAUACUAACUCAUUAAUACAUGUUUUUUUAAAUUCAUUAAUAUUUGGAUUCGAAUAUUUUGGACCUUCUCCAAAAAAUUGACCAGCUGAUUCUAAUAAUGAAUAUACAUUAGAUACUUUUUUAUAUUCUUUUGCUUUGUUUUUUUUUUUCAUCUCUUCUAAUGCUUUUUUUUUUUUUUUUUUUUUUUUUUUAGUGCCUCUUUUGUUUUACUUUUAUUUUUUAAUUUCACAUUUAUUUUACCAUUAUCCUCUUCUUCGUCGUAUUCUUCUUUUAUUUCAUCUUCUGAUUCGUCAGCGUAUUCUUCUUCUUCCCCUGAUUCAUCCUCGUCAUCAUAUUUUACUUCUUCUUCUACUUCACUUUCAUCACUUUUGUUUUUUUUAGCAGAUUUUUUAGUACCCACACUAUUUUUCUUUUUUUUCUUUUUAACUAUAUUACUACUACUAUUCUUUUUUACUAUAAAAUCACUUUUUGAAAAAACCGCUUUUUUCUCGUUAUUUUCUAUCAAUUCAUUUGUAUUUUCUACUUCCGAACCAUUUUCUUUAUUUUUUUUUUCACUAUCGUCGUCAUCGCUUACUACCUUUUUCAAUUUUUUUAAUUUUCUCAUCUUUUUAUUUUUUUUUUAUAUUGGUGUCAUUAUCAUUUUUAUUGCCUUCGUUUUCAUCUCCGAAAACUUCUUUAUUAGUAAGAUCUGUCUCUGUUUCUAUAUCUUCAUUAUAGUUAUUAUUUUUUUUUUCUUCUACAUUAUCAUCAUCUGUUAACGUGAUGUCAUUUUCAGUGUUAUUUUUUUGCUUCCUUUAGUCCAUUGGCUUCGUCUUCUGCUCCGGACUCGAGUCCGGUUUCUUCAUUAAUUACUUCAUUCGUUACUUCAUUAGUUACUUCAUUCGUUACUUCAUUANNNNNNNNNNUUACUUCAUUCGUUACUUCAUUAGUUACUUCAUUCGUUACUUCAUUAGUUUUUUCAUUUGUACUGUCGUCUUCAUCAUCUGAUAACAACUUUUUUUUUUUUUUUUUUUUAUUCAAACUAUUCAUUUUUGUAAUUUAUUUUAUAAAACACUAAAACAAACACUUACAAUGUCUUUUUUUGUAGAUAACACAUGACAUAUGUAGUAUAUAUAUAUAUGCGUAUGUGUGCAUGUCCAUACGUUAUAUAUGCGUAAAAUGUCUAUAUCAUAUACGUAUGUAUUUUAUCUUAAAAAAAAAAAAAAAAAAAAAACCAAAAAAACCAAAAAAACCAAAAAAACGCAAAAAAACGUAAAAAAAAGCAAAAAAAAGUAAAAAAAGAAAGAAAACGAAAACAAAAUACAAAUUUAUCACAUUUGUUAGUAUUUAUUUAUAAUUAUUGUAUUAGUUCCUUUUUAUAUAUUGUUGCAUUUUUUUUUUUUUUUUUUUUAGCUAUUUUGAUUUUACUUUACUAUUAUAAAUAGCAAUAAUUAAAAAUAUCUGUCUCAUCAAAAAAAAAAAUAAAAAAAUAAAUAAAUAAAAAUAAAAUUAUAUA